rnacentral:rRNA from 1 species
AUGCCUAACACAUGCAAGUCGAACGCUCUUGGGGUUUCGGCCGCAAGGGAGUGGCGGACGGGUGAGUAGCGCGUGGGAACCUGCCUUGGAGUGGGGGAUAACCGAGGGAAACUUCGGCUAAUACCGCAUACGCCCGCGGGGGAGACCUUGCGGGGAAAGAUUGAUCGCUCGGAGAGGGGCCCGCGUCGGAUUAGGUAGUUGGUGGGGUAACGGCCUACCAAGCCAUUGAUCCGUAGCUGGUCUGAGAGGAUGAUCAGCCACACUGGGACUGAGACACGGCCCAG